rnacentral:rRNA from 1 species
UACGUAGGGGGCAAGCGUUAUCCGGAAUUACUGGGCGUAAAGCGCACGCAGGCGGUUCGCCAAGUUUGGAGUGACAGUUGUCGGCUCAACCGAUAAAGGACUUCAAAAAUUGGUGAACUUGAGAGCGAGAGAGGAACAUGGAACUCCAGGUGUAGUAGUGAAAUGCGUAGAUAUCUGGAAGAACACCAAAGGCGAAGGCAAUGUUCUGGCUCGUUUCGGACGCUCAGGUGCGCAAGCCAGGGGAGCGAACGGG